rnacentral:rRNA from 1 species
AUUGAACGCUGGCGGCAUGCUUUACACAUGCAAGUCGAACGGUAACAGGGAGCUUGCUCCGCUGACGAGUGGCGAACGGGUGAGUAAUGCGUCGGAACGUGCCGAGGAGUGGGGGAUAACGCAUCGAAAGGUGUGCUAAUACCGCAUACGAGCUGAGGUUGAAAGUGGGGGACCUUCGGGCCUCAAGCUAUUCGAGCGGCCGACGUCGGAUUAGCAAGUUGGUGAGGUAAAGGCUCACCAAGGCGACGAUCAGUAGCGGGUCUGAGAGGAUGAUCCGCCACACUGGGACUGAGACACGGCCCAGACUCCUACGGGAGGCAGCAGUGGGGAAUUUUGGACAAUGGGCGCAAGCCUGAUCCAGCCAUGCCGCGUGUCUGAAGAAGGCCUUCGGGUUGUAAAGGACUUUUGUCCGGGAGCAAAUGCUGGUGGCUAACAUCCACCGGAGCUGAGAGUACCGGAAGAAUAAGCACCGGCUAACUACGUGCCAGCAGCCGCCGUAUAC